AAGCCAUGAUGAUCAAUAACGCUGACGUGGUGGUUGGGUCCAUCACAGCCGUCUGAUUUCAUCUGACGAUGUGUAAAGCGUUGCUGAGCUU